rnacentral:rRNA from 1 species
GAUGAACGCUGGCGGCGUGCCUAAUACAUGCAAGUCGAGCGAACAGAUGAGGAGCUUGCUCCUCUGACGUUAGCGGCGGACGGGUGAGUAACACGUGGAUAACCUACCUAUAAGACUGGGAUAACUUCGGGAAACCGGAGCUAAUACCGGAUAAUAUAUUGAACCGCAUGGUUCAAUAGUGAAAGACGGUUUUGCUGUCACUUAUAGAUGGAUCCGCGCCGCAUUAGCUAGUUGGUAAGGUAACGGCUUACCAAGGCAACGAUGCGUAGCCGACCUGAGAGGGUGAUCGGCACCACUGGAACUGAGACACGGUCAAGACUCCUACGGGAGGCAGCAGUAGGGAAUCUUCCGCAAUGGGCGAAAGCCUGACGGAGCAACGCCGCGUGAGUGAUGAAGGUCUUCGGAGCGUAAAACUCUGUUAUUAGGGAAGAACAAAUGUGUAAGUAACUAUGCACGUCUUGACGGUACCUAAUCAGAAAGCCACGGCUAACUACGUG